CAAUCACUUGUCUUUUAAAUGAAGACCUGUAUGAAUGGCAUCACGAGGGCUUAGCUGUCUCCCUCUCCCAGUCAAUGAAAUUGAUCUCCCCGUGCAGAAGCGGGGAUAAAGACAUAAGACGAGAAGACCCUAUGGAGCUUAAGGCGCCAGAACAGCUCACGUCAAACACCCCCGCAUAAAGGGAAUAAACCAAGUGGACCCUGCUCUAGUGUCUUUGGUUGGGGCGACCGCGGGGAAAAAUUAAACCCCCAUGUGGAACAGGAACACUAUAUUCCUUAAUCCAAGAGCUCCCGCUCUAAUAAACAGAACUUCUGACCAACAAGAUCCGGCAACGCCGAUCAACGGACCGAGUUACCCUAGGGAUAACAGCGCAAUCCCCUUAAAGAGCCCU
rnacentral:rRNA from 1 species